rnacentral:rRNA from 1 species
GACGAACGCUGGCGGCGUGCUUAACACAUGCAAGUCGAACGGUGAAGCGCCUUCCUUUUUGGUGGGUGUGGAUGAGUGGCGAACGGGUGAGUAACACGUGAGUAACCUGCCCCCUUCUUCUGGAUAACCGCAUGAAAGUGUGGCUAAUACGGGGUAUUCUGGGUCUGUCGCAUGAUGGGUCUGGGAAAGAUAUUGUUUCGGUGGGGGAUGGGCUCGCGGCCUAUCAGCUUGUUGGUGGGGUGAUGGCCUACCAAGGCGGUGACGGGUAGCCGGCCUGAGAGGGUGGACGGUCACACUGGGACUGAGACACGGCCAAGACUCCUACGGGAGGCAGCAGUGGGGAAUAUUGCACAAUGGGCGCAAGCCUGAUGCAGCGACGCCGCGGGAGGGAUGGAGGCCUUCGGGUUGUGAACCUCUUUCGCCAGUGAAGCAGGCCUGCCUCGUUUGUGGGUGGGUUGACGGUAGCUGGAUAAGAAGCGCCGGCUAACUACGUG